AAAGCAAAAAAAGGGGGCCCUCCGGAAAAUUUUGGGUGGACUCUGAAAAUAGCUAAGCUAAUCCGCAGGGGCUCGCACCGGGGACGUAACUAUCAAGUGUGUGCUUAUCAACUUUCGAUGGUAGUUUUUAUGCUACAAGGUUGUACCGGUAACGAAAAAAAGGGUUCGACUCGGGAGAGGGAGCUGAGAAAGGCUACACAUCAAAGGAAGGCAGCAGCGCGCAAAUUACCCACUCUAGCCGAGAAGGUAGUGAAAAAAAUAAGAAGACGUUCUCUCGAGGCCGGUAUCGGAAGAAUACAUUUAAAGCCUUAAGAGGACUAUGAGAGGGAAGUCUGGUGCAACACCCCGGUAAUCCGCCUCAAAGGGUAAUCGCAUUGCUGCGGUAAAAACUCGA
rnacentral:rRNA from 1 species